AGUCGACGCUGAGCUUGGUGCUUGCACUGGGUGGAUGAGUGGCGAACGGGUGAGUAAUACGUGAGUAACCUGCCCUUGACUCUGGGAUAAGCCUGGGAAACUGGGUCUAAUACUGGAUACGACAUGCCACUGCAUGGUGGUGUGUGGAAAGGGUUUUACUGGUUUUGGAUGGGCUCACGGCCUAUCAGCUUGUUGGUGGGGUAAUGGCCUACCAAGGCGACGACGGGUAGCCGGCCUGAGAGGGUGACCGGCCACACUGGGACUGAGACACGGCCCAGACUCCUACGGGAGGCAGCAGUGGGGAAUAUUGCACAAUGGGCGGAAGCCUGAUGCAGCGACGCCGCGUGAGGGAUGACGGCCUUCGGGUUGUAAACCUCUUUCAGCACGGAAGAAGCGAGAGUGACGGUACGUGCAGAAGAAGCGCCGGCUAACUACGUGCCAG
rnacentral:rRNA from 1 species